rnacentral:rRNA from 1 species
UACAGAGGUCUCAAGCGUUGUUCGGAUUCAUUGGGCGUAAAGGGUGCGUAGGUGGCGUCGUAAGUCAGGUGUGAAAUCUCGGAGCUUAACUCCGAAACUGCAUUUGAUACUGCGGUGCUUGAGGACUGGAGAGGAGACUGGAAUUUACGGUGUAGCGGUGAAAUGCGUAGAUAUCGUAAGGAAGACCAGUGGCGAAGGCGGGUCUCUGGACAGUUCCUGACGCUGAGGCACGAAGGUCAGGGGAGCAAACGGG